rnacentral:rRNA from 1 species
AGCCAUGCUAGUCGCGCGAGUCCAACCAUGAGGACUAGCGGCAGACCGCUCACGNAACACGUAGCUAACCUACCCUCGGGUCGCGGAUACCCCCGGGAAACUGGGGCUAAUCCACGAUAGGUGUGGAGGCCUGGAAUGGUUCCACGCUCAAAGGCACGGCGAUCACGUUUGUCGUGUGCCCGAGGAUGGGGCUGCGGCCGAUCAGGCAGUUGGCGAGGUAACGGCUCACCAAACCUUUGACCGGUACGGGCCAUGAAAGUGGUAGCCCGGAGAUGGGCACUGAGACAGGGGCCCAGGCCCUACGGGGCGCAGCAGGCGCGAAAACUCCACAAUGUACGGAAGUACGAUGGGGUUAUCUCGAGUGCAGUCCGAUAAGGGUUGCUUUUCCAUAGAGUAAUAUCCUGUGGGAAUAAGAGGGGGGCAAGACUGGUGUCAGCCGCCGCGGUAACACCAGCCCCUCGAGUGGUGGGGACUAUUAUUUGGCCUAAAGCGUCCGUAGCUGGCUGUAUCCGUCCCCCGGUAAAUCCGGCGUCCUAAGCGUCGGGCUUCGGGUGAUACCAUACAGCUAGAGGGUGGGAUAGGUGAGCGGUAUUUCUGGGGUAGGGGCGAAAUCCUUUGAUCCCAGGAGGACCACCAGUGGCGAAGGCUGCUCACUAGAACACGCCUGACGGUCAGGGACGAAAGCUGGGGCAGCGAACCGGAUUAGAUACCCGGGUAGUCCCAGCUGUAAACGAUGCUAGCUAGGUGUUGGGUCGGCCAC